rnacentral:rRNA from 1 species
AGUGAACGCUGGCGGUAGGCCUAACACAUGCAAGUCGAACGGCAGCACAGUAAGAGCUUGCUCUUACGGGUGGCGAGUGGCGGACGGGUGAGGAAUACAUCGGAAUCUACUUUUUCGUGGGGGAUAACGUAGGGAAACUUACGCUAAUACCGCAUACGACCUACGGGUGAAAGCAGGGGAUCUUCGUACCUUGCGCGAUUGAAUGAGCCGAUGUCGGAUUAGCUAGUUGGCGGGGUAAAGGCCCACCAAGGCGACGAUCCGUAGCUGGUCUGAGAGGAUGAUCAGCCACACUAGAACUGAGACACGGUCCAGACUCCUACGGGAGGCAGCAGUGGGGAAUAUUGGACAAUGGGCGCAAGCCUGAUCCAGCCAUACCGCGUGGGUGAAGAAGGCCUUCGGGUUGUAAAGCCCUUUUGUUGGGAAAGAAAAGCAGCAGGUUAAUACCCCGCUGUUCUGACGGUACCCAAAGAAUAAGCACCGGCUAACUUCGUG